CAACAUUGACGGAUCCGGAGAGGUUGAUUUCUGCGACAAUUAUGGUUGGUAUGUGGUGGCCAUGAUGGUGGAUUCACGGUUGUUGUGGUUUGGAGAUUGUGGUUGUUGGUUUGAGAAGAUGAUGAAGGUGAUAUGUGUUGUAUGUUCUUGGUGUUGAUGAAGAGGAAAAUAAUGUGUGUUUAUGUCUUUGGUGUUGAUAAAGAGGAAUAUGAUGCUUGUUGUUGUUCAGGGUGGGAAACGGAGAGAGGGGUAGCGGUUAGGUAGCGGCGGAGGAAAAGAAAAU
rnacentral:lncRNA from 1 species